rnacentral:sRNA from 1 species
UACGCACCUGUACAGUGUACAUGUAUAUGUACAUCACUUGAAUUCGUUGAAAUAAGAUCAUAAAGGAGGACUAGUCACCGUUCGGAAUCUAUACACCAAAAUUGUGUGAUAACCCCGUUGGAGGUUAAUGUGAUCUCCUAAAACCAUGUGGACCACAAUUGAACAAACUUGACCCGAUAUAUUAUGAACCUAUCAUGAUAUUCCAUUAGAAAACAUUUAAAUAAUGAAGAAGUGACAAAUAACGAGCGUCCGGUGUGAAAAUAAGAAAUUACAUGAAAGUAACUACAUGUAUACUGACCAAAGAAUGUAUGUUCAUAAUAUAGAUGAAUGUUUUAUCAUGAAAAGUGUAUUUGCUUCACGGCUGAAUUGAUUGCCAAAUUUGUAUUAUUUUAUUGUUUAUAAAGGAAACAUGUACAUACAGUAAAUAUUCCGUCGCUAACAAUAUGUUGUAGUGUUUCUACUGUAUACAGGGUUAUUUUCACUCAUUUUUUUAAUCGUGUAAUUUGUUCGCUCUACUACACUUGUAAAUAGUUUUGUCCUGUCUUAAUUUCUUUAAUACUGUAUUGAAUCGAUGCAAUUUUUUUGAAAAAAACAUGUUUUGAAUUCACCAAGACAUGAAUUUGCCCUUUGACAACAAGGGCGAAAAGGGCAAAAUAUAUUUAAGGGGGGCAAUGAUUUACCUCUAUACAGUGUAUAUAGCAGGUUAUGAAAUUUGUAGGUCAACUAAUUGUCAAUUAUGUUUUAUUUUCAUAUAUAUUUUUAGUUAACCAUGCUGAAUUUAUAAUUCCAAAAAAUAUUGAAGUAUUUGUAGUUUUUUCUCGAUAAUGCAUCACUAAACAGUCAAAAACUUAUUCUUAUAGCACUAGAUCGUUCUCAUAAUAAUUAAACAAAGGUUUUAUAGUUAUUAUUUCAUUUCACAAGUUUUACAAAUAGUUUUUUCUGUUUCCACAUAUGAGAAGAUGUGCAAGUUUUCUGUAUAUUUUUUUAUAAUGGCACGGUACAUAAAAUCAAUAGCCGAAUACUGAUCUAACCUCCUUUGUACAUAAUUAUUUUUGCUACUGUAUUUUUGAUUCAAUUGUUAAGAGUGUGUUUUUGAUGUUUUAAUUAAUCAAGUUUUUCCUUUAGAAAUAAAGAAUGGCUUCUAUU